rnacentral:lncRNA from 1 species
GAGAGCAGUGCUGCGGCGAGUGCGGGGCGAGAGGUUCGCGCUGGUGGAGCACCCCAGCUUGCAGGUUCAGCGUGGGUGUCUCUCCCGGGCACAUCGAGCUGUCUAGAGGAACCCUCUUCCCCUGGCUUCACGGCCCAGAGGACGCACGGCUCUCUCCCCUCGAGAGCGUGUUUCGUCGCCCGCGCGGGGAACGCAAAGUGCUAGGGUAGUCACGGCCACUUCACGCCGAGGGACAUCUCAUCUCGCCCUCCAGGUCGUGAGCGCACCCAUUCCGCUCACUGAGGCCGAAAGCUUCGGACCUCCGUGGGCCCUGAGACUUCAGCGUUCCAUGUCUGCUGUGCUGUGGAACCCAGAGUGCUCUUGCCUGGAUGGCUGAGAAUCCCUUGGACCCUGGAAGCACCUACUCCAUGAUGGCCCGCAGGAGGACCAAACUGGAGACAGUCCUGGCUCUGAGGAAACAGGAAGGAAGGAGGGUGAAAGGAACGUCCACCUGCACACAAAGGAAAGAUGAAAAAGAGUCACCUACCAUGGGACCUGGCAAAGUACUUCAGAACUUUUAUUCCUUCCAGAAGCAGUGUAUCACAAUAGAUUGAAUCAAGAAGUGACAUUAAGGCCAGCGCGGUGGCUCACGCCUGUAAUCCCACCACUUUGGGAGGCCGAGGCGGGCGGAUCACGAGAUCAGGAGAUCAAGACCAUCCUGGCUAACAUGGUGAAACCCCAUGUCUACUAAAAAUACAAAAAAUUAGCCGGGCAUGGUGGCGGGCGCCUGUAGUCCCAGCUACUCGGGAGGCUGAGGCAGGAGAAUGGCGUGAACCUGGGAGGUGAAGCCUGCAGUGAGCCAAGAUCAUGCCACCGUACUCCCGUACUCCAGCCUGGGCAACAGAGCAAGACUCCAUCUCAAAAAAAAAAAAAAAAGACAUUAAAGAGAUUUGCAAAAUUGCAGGGAAA